rnacentral:rRNA from 1 species
CCUACGGGAGGCAGCAGUGGGGAAUAUUGGGCAAUGGGCGCAAGCCUGACCCAGCAACGCCGCGUGAAGGAAGAAGGCCUUCGGGUUGUAAACCUCUUUUGUCAGGGACGAAGCAAGUCAGGGUUCCUCACGAAUAAGCCACGGCGAACUACGUGCCAGCAGCCGCGGUAAUACGUAGGUGGCAAGCGUUAUACGGAUUUACUGGGUGUAAAGGGCGUGUAGGCGGGACUGCAAGUCAGAUGUGAAAACCACGGGGUCAACCUGUGGCCUGCAUUUGAAACUGUAGUUCUUGAGUACGGGAGAGGCAGACGGAAUUCCUAGUGUAGCGGUGAAAUGCGUAGAUAUUAGGAGGAACACCAGUGGCGAAGGCGGUCUGCUGGACAGCAACUGACGCUGAGGCGCGAAAGCGUGGGGAGCAAACAGGAUUAGAUACCCCAGUAGUC